GCUCAUCCUUACCUUCAAGGUCGCCGCUCGCCGCAUUCGAAAUACGAAAUUAGAAGACUUGUUCUCUAGGUAUCCGAACUCCGAAGUAACUACAAACCCUAGAACGAUCGAUUUUCAGUGAAAUGGCACGUACCAAACAAACCGCUCGCAAAUCUACUGGCGGGAAGGCCCCCCGAAAGCAACUCGCUACUAAGGCUGCAAGAAAGUCUGCACCUACCACUGGUGGAGUCAAGAAGCCUCAUCGUUAUCGCCCUGGUACCGUGGCUCUUCGUGAGAUCCGUAAGUACCAGAAAAGCACUGAACUCUUGAUCCGCAAGCUGCCUUUCCAGCGUCUUGUUCGUGAAAUU
rnacentral:misc_RNA from 1 species